CAACGGUUGACCUCGGAUCAGGUAGGGAUACCCGCUGAACUUAAGCAUA
rnacentral:rRNA from 1 species